ACAACGGCGCUCUCAGCCAAUGGCUGCGCUCGCCUGGUUAUCGGGAUUUACAAUCUGUUUGAGGGAUGGCGUUACAAAUGGAAACAAAUGUGUGUCUUUUAUGGGUAAUAUGUGGGAAUCCAGCUGUCCAUGGCUUGGGGACUCUGCAGGUGUGGAUUGCCUGGGGACAGUCAAGGGGUGUUGAAUGCCUGGAUUGUCCAAACAAGCCCGAGCAGACUGGCAGGCGCCAGCGCGGUGACGUCACCCAUUCAUCCGAGCCUUGACGCCUGUCAGCCUGGCGCCGCUCGGGCGGUCUCCAUGGAGACGUCAAACAAGAGAGCUCGAACUCCGCACUCCGCCAUUCACCUGCGUGGCGCGCGGGACCCUGAGAACAAACUGGCUCCGGAGCCUUUGUCGUUCAUUUAUCACCUUAAAGCAGCGGGAUGAGAUUACCGCCCAGCGCACCUGCAGAGCCGCCUCUGUCAGAGGAGGAGGAGGGCUCGGCAUUAUGUUGUUACCGCAUUUUAACACAAACUAACCGCUGCAUUCCCCCACACAGCCCUCUCUGACUACUGUAUGGUCCCCUGGUUACUAUAAAACUUGAUUAAAAACUCGA